GAUGAACGCUGGCGGCGUGCCUAAUACAUGCAAGUCGAGCGCACGGACGAGAAGCUUGCUUCUCUGAUGUUAGCGGCGGACGGGUGAGUAACACGUGGAUAGCCUACCUAUAAGACUGGGAUAACUUCGGGAAACCGGCGCUAAUACCGGAUAAUAAUUUGAACCGCAUGGUUCAAAAGUGAAAUACGGUCUUGCUGUUACUUAUAGAUGGAUCCGCGCUGCAUUAGCUAGUUGGUAAGGUAACGGCUUACCAAGGCAACGAUGCAUAGCCGACCUGAGAGGGUGAUCGGCCACACUGGAACUGAGACACGGUCCAGACUCCUACGGGAGGCAGCAGUAGGGAAUCUUCCGCAUUGGGCGAAAGCCUGACGGAGCAACGCCGCGUGAGUGAUGAAGGUCUUCGGUUCGUAAAACUCUGUUAUUAGGGAAGAACAUAUGUGUAAGUAACUGUGCACAUCUUGACGGUACCUAAUCAGAAAGCCACGGCUAACUACGUG
rnacentral:rRNA from 1 species